UUCCUUGAUGAAUGGCACUGGGCUCCGACAGCCACAAAGUUGGCUGGUCUUGAUGGAUAUGCCCUAUCGCGGCAGGCCUAGAAAACCUCGCCCACUGAUU
rnacentral:snoRNA from 1 species